rnacentral:rRNA from 1 species
UUUCGGGUUGUAAAGCACUUUCAGCGGGGAAGAAGGCCUGGGGGUUAAUACCCGCCAGGAACGACAUCACCCGCAGAAGAAGCACCGGCUAACUCCGUGCCAGCAGCCGCGGUAAUACGGAGGGUGCGAGCGUUAAUCGGAAUUACUGGGCGUAAAGCGCGCGUAGGUGGCGUGAUAAGCCGGUUGUGAAAGCCCCGGGCUCAACCUGGGAACGGCAUCCGGAACUGUCAGGCUAGAGUGCAGGAGAGGAAGGUAGAAUUCCCGGUGUAGCGGUGAAAUGCGUAGAGAUCGGGAGGAAUACCAGUGGCGAAGGCGGCCUUCUGGACUGACACUGACACUGAGGUGCGAAAGCGUGGGUAGCAAACAGGAUUAGAUACCCUGGUAGUCCACGCCGUAAACGAUGUCGACUAGCCGUUGGGAGCCUCGAGUUCUUAGUGGCGCAGUUAACGCGAUAAGUCGACCGCCUGGGGAGUACGGCCGCAAGGUUAAAACUCAAAUGAAUUGACG